rnacentral:rRNA from 1 species
AACGAACGCUGGCGGCAUGCCUAACACAUGCAAGUCGAACGAGACCUUCGGGUCUAGUGGCGCACGGGUGCGUAACGCGUGGGAAUCUGCCCCUCGGUUCGGAAUAACAGUUAGAAAUGACUGCUAAUACCGGAUAAUGACGAAAGUCCAAAGAUUUAUCGCCGAGGGAUGAGCCCGCGUAGGAUUAGCUAGUUGGUGGGGUAAAGGCCUACCAAGGCGACGAUCCUUAGCUGGUCUGAGGAGAUGGUCAGGCACAAUGGGACUGAGACACGGCCCAGACUCCUACGGGAGGCAGCAGUGGGGAAUAUUGGACAAUGGGCGAAAGCCUGAUCCAGCAAUGCCGCGUGAGUGAUGAAGGCCUUAGGGUUGUAAAGCUCUUUUACCAGGGAUGAUAAUGACAGUACCUGGAGAAUAAGCUCCGGCUAACUCCGUGCCAGCAGCCGCCGUAAAAC